UACGUAGGGUGCAAGCGUUGUCCGGAAUUAUUGGGCGUAAAGAGCUCGUAGGCGGUCUGUCGCGUCGAAUGUGGAAAACCCGGGGCCUCAACCCCGGGCCUGCAUUCGAUACGGGCAGACGUAGAGUUCGGUAGGGGAGUCUGGAAUUCCUGGUGUAGCGGUGAAAUGCGCAGAUAUCAGGAGGAACACCGGUGGCGAAGGCGGGACUCUGGGCCGAUACUGACGUGGAGGAAGCGAAAGCGUGGGUAGCAAACAGG
rnacentral:rRNA from 1 species